rnacentral:rRNA from 1 species
GGACGAACGCUGGCGUCGUGCCUAAUACAUGCAAGUAGAACGCACAGUUUAUACCGUAGCUUGCUACACCAUAAACUGUGAGUUGCGAACGGGUGAGUAACGCGUAGGUAACCUGCCUGGUAGCGGGGGAUAACUAUUGGAAACGAUAGCUAAUACCGCAUAAUAUUAAUUAUUGCAUGAUAAUUGAUUGAAAGAUGCAAUUGCAUCACUACCAGAUGGACCUGCGUUGUAUUAGCUAGUAGGUGAGGUAACGGCUCACCUAGGCGACGAUACAUAGCCGACCUGAGAGGGUGAUCGGCCACACUGGGACUGAGACACGGCCCAGACUCCUACGGGAGGCAGCAGUAGGGAAUCUUCGGCAAUGGACGAAAGUCUGACCGAGCAACGCCGCGUGAGGGAAGAAGGGUUUCGGAUCGUAAAGCUCUGUUGUAAGAGAAGAACGGGUGUGAGAGUGGAAAGUUCACACUGUGACGGUAUCUUACCAGAAAGGGACGGCUAACUACGUG